rnacentral:rRNA from 1 species
UACGGAGGGUGCAAGCGUUAUCCGGAUUCACUGGGUUUAAAGGGUGCGUAGGUGGGCUGGUAAGUCAGUGGUGAAAUCUCCGUGCUUAACAUGGAAACUGCCAUUGAUACUACUGGUCUUGAAUUUUCUGGAGGUAAGCGGAAUAUGUCAUGUAGCGGUGAAAUGCUUAGAUAUGACAUAGAACACCAAUUGCGAAGGCAGCUUACUACAGGGACAUUGACACUGAGGCACGAAAGCGUGGGGAUCAAACAGG